rnacentral:miRNA from 1 species
UAUAUGUAUAUGUGUAUGUAUGUAUGUACACACAUACAUACAUACACACACACACACACACACACACACACACACACACAC